rnacentral:rRNA from 1 species
ACGGGGUGCAGCAGGCGCGAAACCUCCGCAAUACACGAAAGUGUGACGGGGUUACCCAAAGUGUUCAAUUUUGAACUGUGGUAGGUGAGUAAUGUUCCCUACUAGAAAGGAGAGGGCAAGGCUGGUGCCAGCCGCCGCGGUAAAACCAGCUCUUCAAGUGGUCGGGAUAAUUAUUGGGCUUAAAGUGUCCGUAGCCGGUUUAGUAAGUUCCUGGUAAAAUCGGGUAGCUUAACUAUCUAUAUGCUAGGAAUACUACUAUACUAGAGGGCGGGAGAGGUCUGAGGUACUGCAGGGGUAGGGGUGAAAUCUUAUAAUCCUUGUUGGACCACCAGUGGCGAAGGCGUCAGACUGGAACGCGCCUGACGGUGAGGGACGAAAGCCAGGGGAGCGAACCGGAUUAGAUACCCGGGUAGUCCUGGCCGUAAACGAUGCAUACUAGGUGAUGGCACGGCCAUGAGCCGUGUCAGUGCCGUAGGGAAACCGUUAAGUGUGCCGCCUGGGAAGUACGGUCGCAAGGCUAAA